GUCUGCAGCCAUGCUACCCUGAACAAGCCCGAUCCCGUCUGAUCUCGGAAGCUAAACGGGGUCGGGCCUGGUUAGUACUUGGAUGGGAGACCACCUAGGAAGACCAGGUGCUGUAGGUG
rnacentral:rRNA from 1 species